UAAACUGAACCAUUUCACAGCUGUUUUGGGAUGGUUUUCCAAAUAAAAACGGGGAGAUAUUCGUCCCGCUGGAGCCUCGGUUAACGGAUACUCUGCAUUUUCUAUUGUUUAGUUAUUUCUUUGUUUGCUAUGCUAUGCUAUAUUUGUAUAGCGCUCCUUUCCAAAUUACAAAGUGCUUUAAAAAAUCUUGAAUAUGUUUUUAAUUAUUUUGCACCUUGUCCGAAUGCUUUCUCUUCUUUUUGUGUUUUUUUUCCUCAUGCUGAUUUGCCCUCUAAUGGCGAGAUGUAUUCUAACCUCAAUGAGGGACUUGUACAGUGUUACACUCCUGUUUUCUCUUUUCACCCAAAUGAGAGUCGGAUUUAGGCCACGUUACCUGCCUCAGUUUAAUUUCAACAUCGCUCUCAGAUUGUCGAGCAGAGCACUUCGAAUCCAACCCUCCGACUGAAGCUUUAGUUCUCCGGUCCGUCCUCGGAGAUAUAGCGGCUCUGAAAGCAGAAAUGUUCUCAUUGGUUCGGCUAAACUUCCCGAAAAGUCAGAUUAUCCGGCUGAUUAUGUAUUCACAUGUUGACUGUUUCUGAUAUAAUAGAAAAUCAAGGCGACAGGAAAUCGCCCCUUAAUCUCAAAACUGCAUAUUUCUCAUUUUUAAAAAACAUAUUUAGAUGCAUGGUGUCUUUGUUAUUACAUUCAAGUCAAAGAGUAUCUUUUGAAUUAAACUGAAGGGAAUCAAUCAGGGAUUACAGAAUAUGGCUAAGAGUCAUGUGACAUUCAAAUUCAAUUAACCAGAGGGGCACCCGGAGAGCGCAGACCUCCGUGAAAGGCUGCCGUUCAUCUGCAUGUACGACAGAAGAGAAAAUCUGCAGACUUUCCCUUAAGUUACCAGCUAACGGUAGCAGUUGCUAGCUAGCUUGGUCAUAUUUUUCAAAAACUAAUAUCGUAGUCCUGCAAUGUGUGACCCUGCAAGAUCCCCAGUCUAACAUAUUAUGACAUUAUGUCGUCAACGUUAGAUGUGAGAUGAUUGUCUUUAGAUGUGAGAUGGUGUCUGACCUUAGUCUUUUCAAAGUCUGUUCAGAGUCGUCUAGUAUAUGGAAGGCAUUAGCUAACAUUUACAUCUUUUAGGCCCCACCCAACACAUUUGAACUGAACCAAUGAGAUUGUUCCUGCUCUGUGGGCUGUUUUGCUUUAAAUAAACUAACUGAUGAUGAUAACGUGGCCUUGGUCUGGCCUGCGGCCGUGUUACAUUACGCCUUGUGGCUGUAUAAAAUAAGCCUGUAUGAACCUAGUGUCUUCUGGUGAGCUACAUGUGUGUAUGUGGGUAUAUACACACCGUGUUGCUAUUUAUUUAUGUAAUGUAUGUAUUUAUUUAUUUAUUCCUGCGUCCUCUUUAUCGGUUCGGCACCUGUGGCGUAUUUGACGGUUGUCAAUACAUCGGUGUAUGAUGUGUAGGUAUGGAGGGAGGGAGGGUGAAGGGAUAUUUGGGUGUGGGGUGGGGGCUUGGUCAAUGGGAAAACCUAGCUGUGAUAUUAACUAUCUAACUGAUACUAAUAUAAUCUAAGACCACUGUAUGUAUAUCUGCUUGUCGUGAAGAUGAUCUACAAUGUAAUGACAAUAAAGAAUUAACACUAUGAUAAACUCUGCA